rnacentral:lncRNA from 1 species
CAAGCCGCCAUCUUGUACCUCCCACUUGGAAAGAGAAACAUUUUUGAAUAGAUUCUGUUAAUUUACUUUGAGAUCGUCAGUAAAUCCAGAAUAAAAAAAAGUACAGUGUAUGGAUCAAUAUUAACUUCCCCAGCAGGGUGGAAGAGCUUGAGCCCACCUACGUACUGAAAAUACAACUGACAUUGGUAACAGAACUGAGCGAGGCAUUGUGCAGAUUGUUUUAAGUGCAUUAUCUCAAUAAUCAACAUAACAACUCCAGAAAGUUACUGGAUCUUGCUGUGACUGAUACUACUACAGAAGAGGAGGAACAAAUGUUCUCAAUUUCCUUCUGUAUAAAGAGUUUGCACCACAAGACUUGUCCCUGCCAUUUGCCAUUCCUGUAUCACUAUCCUCCAAAGACUCCUGUGGAGCAAUGCAACCAUCCUAUGUUCAAAGUGACUUCUUUGGGUCAAGGUCCCCGAGCACACAGCAGGCCUUCAGAAAAGAAGAAAGAUGAUUUCUCUUCUCUAACACCACACCUUGUGGAUAGCCAGUAAGUGGCUGCAAACUAUUCACUACGAAGUGAUCUUUUGAUGUUACAUAGGAAUAAUUUUUAAAAUCCCUUCUCUUGGAGGACCCAGUGAUUAAUUUCUUUUCACUCUUCUUUGCCCAUUAAGGACCUUUCCCCUGAACCAUCCAGAACAAUAAAGGAAUAACUGGCACCAACCAGAUCAAGAGCCAUUAUAAUAUAAGGCUUGAUUGAAUUUUUG